rnacentral:lncRNA from 1 species
GGGUGACGAAAAGAACAUGCAAAUCAAAUCAACGAAAACAAACAUACAAUUGAGGAAUCAAGUCGUAUGGUAGUUAGAUCUGGGGGUAGCAUCGCUGGUUCACGAUUGCUGGAGGAGGUCUUCUUUGGCUGAUGAUGGAGAAGGGAGGGCGACGGAUAGGAGGCCGCAGUGGCGCUGUUCGUCAGUGGAUCGUGGCAGAUCUGGAGAGGUAAAGUUGGAGCGGUGUCUAUGGCUGUUUUCGCUGGGGAUGNNNNNNNNNNNCUGGUUGUUGAUGGUAUGGUAGAUCUGGGCGGAUGAGGCAGUGAUGGCUUUCUGUCGUCUAGCGGCUGGCGGCGUUAGCUUACCAGAGGAGGCGUCGGCUCGGGCUUCGAUGGAUUUUUGGUGUUGCAUGGCGUGAAAGAGGUCACCGGACUUAAUGAUUUCACCAGAAAAGGAGGACGAGAGGGGAGGGGCGGCGGUUGGAGGGUUCCAGAGAGAAAGAGGAGAGAUAGAGAGAGAAAGUGGGGGUGGUGCGGUUGUUGUUGUUUUGAAUGAAAUUGGGGUUUAGGUUGUAGUAUUUAAAAGAAAGGAAGUGGAUCUUUGAUCUCAGUCGUUGGAUCUGUUUUGAUUGACAGCUGAGAUUUAAAGUUUGAGCCAAAAUUUAAAAAUAAUUUAAAAUUGAAUUUUAAAUUAGCUAAAACUGUAAUGAAUUGAAUGAAAUUGGGUUAAAAGAUAAAUAAAUUUAGGCAAAGUAAUUUUAAAUUAGGUUGUUAUUUAAAUUCUAGUAGGGAUAAAUAAUAAUAAUAAUAAUAAUAAUAAUAAUACAACAUUAGAUAAUGUAUUUGAAAAAUGCGAGUGUGCACAAUUAUGUGAAAAAUAAUUUAAUAAAUAUUAAUAAAAUUACAUAAAAUAUUGUAUAUAAAUUUAAAAAUUAUAAAAAUGAUACUAAAAGAUAAUAAAAUAAUUUAUGUAUUUUUCUAAAUUAUGAAUGUGAUACGUCUGUAUGUAUUCAAUGUAAGAAUAAUAUGUAAAAAAUAUUAAUAAUUAAAAUUAAAUAAUUUUGAUAAAAAUAGCCGUCUAGAAGUAAUUUUAGAGGUCAAAAUUAGAUGUAAACACAGAUAUUCUAUAAUAUAUAAUUAACACUAACUCUCUGCAAUAGUGCCACUUUAGUAUUCCUGAAAAAAAAAUAGAAAACAGCCAACAGUGGUUGUGCUACUUUUUAUAUUCAUAAAAAAUUAACAAAAGUUAACUUCAUUGGAAAGCGUGAAAUCAAGAAACAGUGGCAUGCGCCACUGCAUACUUUUCCCUUAAUCCAAUUUUUCUUCCACCAAAAUUAUACAUAUUAUAUUCCUACGUACACAUUAAAUAUACGAACCUGAAAUUCGAGUUAUGCAACAACAGUACUUCCUUUUCCUUUUCUUUUCUCUAUAUUCUAAUAAAUUUAACAUAUAAUACCUUGUCUGAUAAUCUAUUACCCUAAUCUCAUAUGUGACAGAAAAGAAAAUAAGGAAAUAGUGGAUAUGAUCCACUACUAAUUUUAAUAAAAUAAUAGUUUUACUAACCAUCUUUAAAUUAAUUAUUUUAAAUACUCAAAACUUCAAAUAAAUUAUCAAAAUUUAUUUUAAAUCCUAUAUAAAUAAAUUAAAUAUGUAAAUUGACUAAAAAGUGCAUUCUGAAUCUAUUGAAAUUACUAAAAUACUACUCUGGGAUCAUCUUGAUUGAAAAUUGACCGCGUUCGAAUUUAACUUUCUUUAGCUCAUAAUAACCCAACUAACGACUCAAUCACCUUCGUACACUUCAAAAAUUGAUAUUACUCAUACUGUGAGUCAUAAAUUCAUGUACGUAAACUAUGGAGAGAGCUAAAAUAAUGAAGAUGAAAAGAUUUCACGAACAAUCAGAAGGGUCGUUACAACUUAAGACAAUCAAGAAACUCCACGAAUAAUCCCACUCAAAAUCUCACUAGAAUGGCCUCACACGACCUCUAUGUCACUAUCAACUUCAUCGCUACAUCACCUUAUUGUUUCCUGUCCAAUCAAGCUUAAUCCUACCAAUUAACUGAUGUGGAGAACACAAAUCAUGCAAGUUCUGAAAGUAACAGAUUUGAUCAAAAGAGGAAAACCAACUGUUAGUCUUCAAUUGCCAUAGAUGGGAAGGACAAAGUUAUUGAACGAAUAGAUGUUAUAGAUUUGGGUAGUGCUUAGGAAGAGAAGGGUGUGUUGUUGAGAACAUGGAUCUCAAGUAGCAUGACUAAGGAGAGGAUGUAUCUCAUUAUGGUAUAUUAUACGACCAAAGAGAUGUGGAAAUGCUUGGAAGAAACAUAUCUCAAAAAAACUAAGGACAAGGAAUUUCAGCUAAAGCAAUAAUUUCAAAACAUUAAGUUAGGAUCCAAGAAACUUGAUUAAUAUCUUAAAGAAUUCAAAGGUGCAUGUUAUGGUUUUGCAACCAUUCACAAACCUGUCGAUGAGGAUAGCAAAGUUAUCAACUUUGCUAGAGGUUUAGGCAUUAAAUAUAAGACCUUCAAAACUGUUAUGCUUGGAAUGGCACCAUAUCCCAUACUCAGUCAGUUUGUCAAUGCACUAUGAGGCUUUUACAUGAGUGAAAAUGAUAAAGAAAUGCCAUAGGAAAAUCAUAAUAUGAAUUUCUUUACACAACGGAGCAGGGGCGGAAGAAGAAACAACUAAAAUUAGAAUAGAGGUAAUAAAAACUACACAAGGAAAGAGGUUUUAGGACUACUAUACAAGGAAACGACAAUCAAAAUAGUCAGAAUAUGCAGGCUUCAAACCAAACUAAGAAUAAAUAUUCAUCCUCUAAUUUUUGUCAAAUCUGUUCUAGGAAUAACUACACUACACUAACAUGAUUCUAGAGGUAGGACUACUCAUAUUACGCUGUAGAAAAAUUUCCUCAAGCCUUAGUAGAAGUCAAAUUUCAAAGCACAAUAACUGAGGAUAAUAUAAUAUAUGAAGACUCUGGAGAAACCGAUCACUUGACCAAUAACACAGGUAAUCUGUCUGAUCUUAAAACUUACAAAGGAACUAAUAAGAUUACUUUUGGAGAUGGAUCAUUUUUAAACAUUACACACAAUGGAAAUAAAACAAAGUCAGGUUUGAAAAUUAAAGAGACACUAGUAGUUCCUAAGAUAAAGAAGAACUUAUUGUUUGUUAGCAAGCUUGCAAAAGACAAUUGUUGUACUAUUGAGUUUGAUGGAUCUAAUUUUAUUGUUAAAUACAAAAAUUCAGGGAUACAAAUAUCCAAGGGAACUAGGAAAGAAGGAUUGUAUACAUUGAAAGAUAACAUCUAUGCCUUGACAGCACCCCAAACUGGAGGAAGACAAAUUGCAUUUGACAUGCUAGAUUAGAUCAUCCUAGUUUGAAGUCCUUAUAAUUUUUUAGUAGAAAUAAGAUUAUAGAUAUUAAGAGUUGGAAUAAAGUGCCUAUUAUUUGAAUUAGUUGUCAGUUGAAAAAAAGUUAUAAGCUUUCUUUUGCAUUGAGAGAUAAAAUUGAAAAGGAACCAUUACUCAAGAUUUAUUGUGAUCUUUAAGGUCCAGCCACUGUUGAAUCAUCUCAACAUAUGAAGUACUAUGCUAUAUUUAUGGAUGAUAACACAAGAUAUACUUGGUUGUAUCCAAUAAGAAAGAAUUCUAAAUUUUAUGUGACUUUCCUUAAUUUUCAAAAAGUGGUUUAAAAUUAAUUUUCAAAGCCAAUUAAGAUCAUUCAAUGUGACGGAGGUGGUGAGCUUAUUGGUGAUGAAUUCAUUAAAUAUUUUUAAAAUUGCAAAACUAUUUGACAAGUGUUAUAUCCCAAUACACCUAAACAAGAUGGUAUUCUGAGAGAAAACAUAGGCAUAUAGUAGAAACAGGUCUAACUCUACUCUUUCAUGCAAAAUUGUCUAUGUUUAUAUGGGCGAAAUUUUUUCUCACUAUAAUUUUUUUAUAAACAGACUACCAUCAUCAGUCCUGAAGAAUGAGAUACCUUUUGUUAAAAUUCAUGGGGAAUCACCUUUUGUUAAACUUCAUGGAUAAUCUCCUGAUUGUAAUAGCAUGAAAGUGUUUGGAUAUAUGUGUUAUCCACAUCUUAAGGGUCAGAGAAAGUUUGAAUCUAAAACUUACCCCUGUAUGUUUAUUAGAUACAACAGUCUACACAAAAGCUACAAUGUUAUAAACCAUCGACUAAGAGGGCUUUAUAUUAGACAUGUGGUCUUUUAUGAGAACAUACUUCCCUAUGUUCAGCUAGAAUAAUUUACUCCAGAUACUUUUUGUCUCGUAACUACCAUUUUUUAGUUUUUCAAUAUGCAGGAUGUGCCUCAAGCAAUGAGUGGUCACUUUAGAGGAAAUGUUGGACACCAAUACUACAUCAGAAACCUCUCAAACUAUUCCUAAUAAUAAUGAGUUUAUUGAUGAUGCACUAUCAAAAAACAAUGGCCAAGAUUCACUAGAAACUAGCUCAGAUGGUGAAGGUGAUAACUUUGUUGAUUUUGACACCCCUACAGGUGAUGAAACAUAGAAACCUGAUCAAACUUUAGUUUACAAUCUGCAAGGUACACAUUUAGAGUUGAUCUUUUAGGGUGGACGAUUAAAAUGAAGUCCACUUAAAAUUCGGAACCCUCUAUCACCAUUAAUAAGAGUGUAGAACUAGAAGUUUCUGACAACACAUCAAGGCAUUAAAUGAUGACUAAAUUAAAGACAAAGAAUGCCUCUCACACAAUCUAAUAGCAACUGAAAAAGUGGUAUCUAAUGAGCCUAAAAUUGUGGAUCAAGCACUUAGGAACCACAUUGGUAUGAAGUCAUGAAAAAUGAUGUUGAUGCUUUGCGUUGAGAUCAAACAUAAAUACUAGUAUUUAGAAAAGUAGAAAUGAAUAUGGUUAGAUCAAGAUAAGUGUUCAAAAUCAAGUUAAAGUCAGAUGUCUCAAUAGAUAAAUAUAAGUUAUGUUGGUUGCCAAAGACUUUUAUUAUCUUGAAAGAGUUUAUCUUUAAGAAACAUUUAACCCUAUUGUGAAAGCAACAAUAAUAAUGGUGGUACUAUUAGUAUUUGUUAGCAUACACUAGCCUAUUAGACAACUUAAUGUCAAAAAUGCAUAUUGCAUGGACAUCUAGAGGUAGAGGUUUACACGGCACAAUCACCAGGCUUUGUUGAUCCUCAAUUCCCAAGACAUAUCAGCUCUUUAAAGAAAGCACUAUAUAGUCUUAAAUAAGCUCCUAAAGCUUAGUUUGAUGGGUGCAACUCAUUUUUACUACAGAUUAGCUUCAAAUGCAAUAAAGUAGAUCCAUGUCUAUUUGUCUUACACUCCAAGAGAGGUACUAUUCUUCUUCUACUCUAGAUAUAGAUAACAGUGUGAUUAUAGGUAGCUCACUUACUCAUAUUCAGGAUAUAUUUACAGCACUUAGAAAAGAAUUUGCAAUGAAAGAUUUUGAUCCUCUUCAUUUCUUUUUUGGAAUUGAGAUUGUGUACUUUGAUAAAGGCAUUCAUCUAAAUCAAAUCAAACAUGACAAUGACAUUCUAAGAAAAAUUGAUAUGUCCAUGGUUAGAGAAAUUGCCAAACCACUGGCACAAAAGCAUAAAUUACAAGAAGCUUAAGGCAGCCCUGUGGAUGCUUCAGAAUAAAGAAGUAUUGUAGGCAGUCUUCAGUACCUCACAUUGACCAGGAUUGAUAUAGCUCAUGUAGUUAACCUUAUAAGUCAGUUCAUUCAAUCCUCAAACAUUAAACACUUGUAGGCGCUGAAAAGAAUCCUCAGGUAUGUGAGAGAGACAAUACAAAUUAGACUUAGGUUGAUUGGAAAAUCACCUGUGGGGCUGUAUGGAUACUCUGAUGUGGAUUGGGGUAGUUGUAACACAACAAUUAGAUCAACUAUAGGAAUACAAUAUACCUAGGUUCUAAUUUCAUUU